rnacentral:rRNA from 1 species
AGUGAACGCUGGCGGUAGGCCUAACACAUGCAAGUCGAACGGCAGCACAGUAAGAGCUUGCUCUUACGGGUGGCGAGUGGCGGACGGGUGAGGAAUACAUCGGAAUCUACUUUUUCGUGGGGGAUAACGUAGGGAAACUUGCGCUAAUACCGCAUACGACCUACGGGUGAAGGCAGGGGAUCUUCGGACCCUGCGCGAUUGAAUGAGCCGAUGUCGGAUUAGCUAGUUGGCGGGGUAAAGGCCCACCAAGGCGACGAUCCGUAGCUGGUCUGAGAGGAUGAUCAGCCACACUGGAACUGAGACACGGUCCAGACUCCUACGGGAGGCAGCAGUGGGGAAUAUUGGACAAUGGGCGCAAGCCUGAUCCAGCCAUACCGCGUGGGUGAAGAAGGCCUUCGGGUUGUAAAGCCCUUUUGUUGGGAAAGAAAAGCAGCAGGUUAAUACCCCGCUGUUCUGACGGUACCCAAAGAAUAAGCACCGGCUAACUUCGUG